UGGGGAAUAUUGCGCAAUGGGGGAAACCCUGACGCAGCAACGCCGCGUGAGGGAAGAAGGUCUUCGGAUUGUAAACCUUUGUCCUUGGUGACGAUAAUGACGGUAGCCAAGGAGGAAGCUCCGGCUAACUACGUGCCAGCAGCCGCGGUAAUACGUAGGGAGCGAGCGUUGUCCGGAUUUACUGGGUGUAAAGGGUGCGUAGGCGGCUCUGCAAGUCAGGUGUGAAAACUAUCGGCUUAACUGAUAGACUGCAUUUGAAACUGUGGAGCUUGAGUGAAGUAGAGGCAGACGGAAUUCCCGGUGUAGCGGUGAAAUGCGUAGAGAUCGGGAGGAACACCAGUGGCGAAGGCGGUCUGCUGGGCUUUAACUGACGCUGAGGCACGAAAGCAUGGGUAGCAAACAGG
rnacentral:rRNA from 2 species